rnacentral:rRNA from 1 species
GACGAAGGGGGCUAGCGUUGUUCGGAAUUACUGGGCGUAAAGCGAGUGUAGGUGGUUGUCCAAGUUGGAUGUGAAAGCCUUGAGCUCAACUCAAGAAAUGCAAUUCAGGACUGGGCGGCUAGAGGACCGGAGAGGAUAGUGGAAUUCCCAGUGUAGUGGUGAAAUACGUAGAGAUUGGGAAAGAACACCAGUGGCGAAGGCGGCUAUCUGGACCGGUUUCUGAACACUUAAGACUCGA